UGUGUUGUUCUCUCAGUGAGGAGCUGUUGAACAGGUUCUUGACGUGUGUAAAGGAGGCUGGUGAAGUGAAUCAGGCGGUGGAGCUGGUGCAGAUCUCAGCUGGCUUCUGUUUGCCCGAGACCCCAAAACUCAUCCAGAGGGUCCAGCAGGAGUUUGAGCUCACAGAGCAGCAGAGGAACAUGUUGUCUGAUCUGGAGAUCCAGACCUUUAACAGCGAUUAAAUCUCGAGGCUGAGAGACGUUCUGCAGCGUGGAUGGAUCAUAGCAGCUAAAUAUCUGGAGAAAUGUCAAUGUGUUCAUUUUCAAUGUCAUUAGUAAUUGUGUACUUAAACAUGCUUGUCACAUGCACAGAUUUCAGUCUUCAUUCAGAUGGAAA